CCAUCCUCCAGCACCUCACCCAACCCAGCCCUGACGGAGGGGAGAGAGGAGAGAGAGAGGGGUGCUCCUGGGGAGGAGGGAGAAAGGAGGGGGUGCUCCGUGGGGCAGGGGGGAGAAGAAUGGAUGUUAUGGGGGUCAAUAAAGGAUACUGGUUCCAGAGCCGCAGAGCCUGCCUCACCUGACCUCAGCCGGGGGGAAAGAGUCACACUCACAGAUUCACUGACUGGAAAAAGCAUGACUGAAUGGAAUAAAAGCCCUCAUAAACAGAACUGCAAGAAGGUAAUAAAAGAAAUUGAAAAUCGGUUAGAACUUCAGCAAAUUAAGGAAUAUUUUUGAAGACUAACUCGCUGCUGUUCAGCGGGCCAGUGUGAGGACUGAGCAACACAUAAGCCCCCCAACAGAC